rnacentral:tRNA from 1 species
GCCUCAAUAGUAUAGUGGUUUAGUACACCGCCCUGUCACGGCGGGGGCCCGAGUUCGAUUCUCGGUUGGGGCG